GAUGAACGCUGGCGGCGUGCCUAAUACAUGCAAGUCGAGCGAACGGACGAGAAGCUUGCUUCUCUGAUGUUAGCGGCGGACGGGUGAGUAACACGUGGAUAACCUACCUAUAAUACUGGGAUAACUUCGGGAAACCGGAGCUAAUACCGGAUAAUAUUUUGAACCGCAUGGUUCAAAAGUGAAAGACGGUCUUGCUGUCACUUAUAGAUGGAUCCGCGCUGCAUUAGCUAGUUGGUAAGGUAACGGCUUACCAAGGCAACGAUGCAUAGCCGACCUGAGAGGGGGAUCGGCCACACUGGAACUGAGACACGGUCCAGACGCCUACGGGAGGCAGCAGUAGGGAAUCUUCCGCAAUGGGCGAAAGCCUGACGGAGCAACGCCGCGUGAGUGAUGAAGGUCUUCGGAUCGUAAAACUCUGUUAUUAGGGAAGAACAUAUGUGUAAGUAACUGUGCACAUCUUGACGGUACCUAAUCAGAAAGCCACGGCUAACUACGUG
rnacentral:rRNA from 1 species